rnacentral:rRNA from 1 species
GGGACCUUCGGGCCUCGCGCGAUUGGAGCGGCUGAUAUCAGAUUAGGUUGUUGGUGAGGUAAAAGCUCACCAAGCCGACGAUCUGUAGCUGGUUUGAGAGAACGACCAGCCACACUGGGACUGAGACACGGCCCAGACUCCUACGGGAGGCAGCAGUGGGGAAUUUUGGACAAUGGGCGAAAGCCUGAUCCAGCAAUGCCGCGUGCAGGAAGAAGGCCUUCGGGUUGUAAACUGCUUUUGUACGGAACGAAAAGGUCUGCCCUAAUACGGCGGGCCCAUGACGGUACCGUAAGAAUAAGCACCGGCUAACUACGUGCCAGCAGCCGCGGUAAUACGUAGGGUGCGAGCGUUAAUCGGAAUUACUGGGCGUAAAGCGUGCGCAGGCGGUGAUGUAAGACAGUUGUGAAAUCCCCGGGCUCAACCUGGGAAUUGCNUCUGUGACUGCAUCGCUAGAGUACGGUAGAGGGGGAUGGAAUUCCGCGUGUAGCANUGAAAUGCGUAGA